rnacentral:ncRNA from 2 species
AGCAGCCGCGGUAAUUCCAGCUCCAAUAGCGUAUAUUAAAGUUGUUGCAGUUAAAAAGCUCGUAGUUGAACUUCGGGGUUUACCCAUUGGUCAGGCUUAAUUGUCUGUACUGGUGAGAUAAAUCUCUACCUUCUGAGGAACUUUCAUGUCAUUAAUUUGGUGUGAUUGGAAAUCAGGACUGUUACUUUGAAAAAAUUAGAGUGUUUAAAGCAGGCUAACGUCUGAAUACAUUAGCAUGGAAUAAUGAAAUAGGACGGACUGAUUCUAUUUCGUUGGUUUCUAGGAUCACCGUAAUGAUUAAUAGGGAUAGUUGGGGGCAUUAGUAUUCAAUUGUCAGAGGUGAAAUUCUUGGAUUUAUUGAAGACUAACUACUGCGAAAGCAUUUGCCAAGGAUGUUUUCAUUAAUCAAGAACGAAAGUUAGGGGAUCGAAGACGAUCAGAUACCGUCGUAGUCUUAACCAUAAACUAUGCCGACUAGGGAUCGGACGAAGUUAAUUUUAUAAUGACGCGUUCGGCACCUUACG